UCUGGAGUAGCUUAAUUAGAAAGCAUUGAUUUUGUAAUUCAAAGAAGGGACUUCCCCUCCAGAU
rnacentral:tRNA from 1 species